rnacentral:rRNA from 1 species
AACGUAGGAGGCGAGCGUUAUCCGGAUUCACUGGGCGUAAAGCGCAUGUAGGCGGUUGUUCAAGUCGGACGUAAAAGCCCCUGGCUCAACUGGGGGAGGAGGUUCGAGACUGAGCGACUUGAGGGUAGCAGAGGAGAGUGGAACUCCCGGUGUAGCGGUGGAAUGCGUAGAGAUCGGGAAGAACACCAGUGGCGAAGGCGACUCUCUGGGCUACGACUGACGUUGAGAUGCGAAAGCGUGGGGAGCAAACGGG